GAUGAUCUCCCGCUUGCGGGGGUGAUUAGUGGCGAACGGGUGAGUAAUACGUGAGUAACCUGCCCUUGACUCUGGGAUAAGCCUGGGAAACCGGGUCUAAUACUGGAUACUACUUCCUGCCGCAUGGUGGGGGGUGGAAAGGGUUUUACUGGUUUUGGAUGGGCUCACGGCCUAUCAGCUUGUUGGUGGGGUAAUGGCUCACCAAGGCGACGACGGGUAGCCGGCCUGAGAGGGUGACCGGCCACACUGGGACUGAGACACGGCCCAGACUCCUACGGGAGGCAGCAGUGGGGAAUAUUGCACAAUGGGCGGAAGCCUGAUGCAGCGACGCCGCGUGAGGGAUGACGGCCUUCGGGUUGUAAACCUCUUUCAGCAGGGAAGAAGCCACAAGUGACGGUACCUGCAGAAGAAGCGCCGGCUAACUACGUGCCAGCAGCCGCGGUAAUACGUAGGGCGCAAGCGUUGUCCGGAAUUAUUGGGCGUAAAGAGCUCGUAGGCGGUUUGUCGCGUCUGCUGUGAAAGCCCGGGGCUCAACCCCGGGUCUGCAGUGGGUACGGGCAGACUAGAGUGCAGUAGGGGAGACUGGAAUUCCUGGUGUAGCGGUGAAAUGCGCAGAUAUCAGGAGGAACACCGAUGGCGAAGGCAGGUCUCUGGGCUGUUACUGACGCUGAGGAGCGAAAGCAUGGGGAGCGAACAGGAUUAGAUACCCUGGUAGUCCAUGCCGUAAACGUUGGGCACUAGGUGUGGGGGACAUUCCACGUUCUCCGCGCCGUAGCUAACGCAUUAAGUGCCCCGCCUGGGGAGUACGGCCGCAAGGCUAAACUCAAGGAAUUGACGGGGGCCCGCACAAGCGGCGGAGCAUGCGGAUUAAUUCGAUGCAACGCGAGAACCUUACCAAGGCUUGACAUUCACCGGACCG
rnacentral:rRNA from 1 species